ACACUGCUGAAGAGUCUCAAAAUAGGACGAAACGGCCGUCCAGUGC
rnacentral:hammerhead_ribozyme from 1 species